rnacentral:rRNA from 1 species
AGCGAACGCUGGCGGCAGGCCUAACACAUGCAAGUCGAACGAAGUCUUCGGACUUAGUGGCGGACGGGUGAGUAACACGUGGGAACGUGCCUUUAGGUUCGGGAUAACUCAGGGAAACUUGUGCUAAUACCGAAUGUGCCCUUCGGGGGAAAGAUUUAUCGCCUUUAGAGCGGCCCGCGUCUGAUUAGCCAGUUGGUGAGGUAAAGGCUCACCAAGGCUACGAUCAGUAGCUGGUCUGAGAGGAUGACCAGCCACAUUGGGACUGAGACACGGCCCAAACUCCUACGGGAGGCAGCAGUGGGGAAUCUUGCGCAAUGGGCGAAAGCCUGACGCAGCCAUGCCGCGUGGAUGAUGAAGGUCUUAGGAUUGUAAAAUCCUUUCACCGGUGAAGAUAAUGACUGUAGCCGGAGAAGAAGCCCCGGCUAACUUCGUGCCAGCCGCCGCUGUAAUAC